AUCCAGCUGACGAGUCCAAAAUAGGACGAAACGUGCUACCUGGAU
rfam:Schistosoma haematobium scaffold314_17, whole genome shotgun sequence.